rnacentral:tRNA from 1 species
UCCCUGGUGGCUCAGAUGGUAAAGUGUCUGCCUACAAUGCAGGAGACCCAGAUUCAAUCCCUGGGUUGGGAA